rnacentral:rRNA from 1 species
CUGAGACCUGAUGCCGAGCCGAUUGUGGUGAAGUGGAUGAUCCUAUGCUGUCGAGAAAAGCCUCUAGCGAGUUUCAUGGCGGCCCGUACCCCAAACCGACUCAGGUGGUCAGGUAGAGAAUACCGAGGCGUUCGGGUGAACUAUGGUUAAGGAACUCGGCAAAAUGCCCCCGUAACUUCGGGAGAAGGGGGGCCGGAACUGGUGAUGAGUCUUGCACUCUGAGCUGGGGCCGGCCGCAGAGACCAGCGAGAAGCGACUGUUUACUAAAAACACAGGUCCGUGCGAAGCCGUAAGGCGAUGUAUACGGACUGACGCCUGCCCGGUGCUGGAACGUUAAGGGGACCGGUUAGUCAACUUUCGGGUUGGCGAAGCUGAGAACUUAAGCGCCAGUAAACGGCGGUGGUAACUAUAACCAUCCUAAGGUAGCGAAAUUCCUUGUCGGGUAAGUUCCGACCUGCACGAAUGGCGUAACGACUUCUCGACUGUCUCAACCAUAGGCCCGGUGAAAUUGCAUUACGAGUAAAGAUGCUCGUUUCGCGCAGCAGGACGGAAAGACCCCGGGACCUUUACUAUAGCUUGAUAUUGGUGUUCGGUUCGGCUUGUGUAGGAUAGGUGGGAGACUUUGAAGCAGCAACGCCAGUUGUUGUGGAGUCGUCGUUGAAAUACCACUCUGGUCGUGCUGGAUGUCUAACCUGGGUCCGUGAUCCGGAUCAGGGACAGUGUCUGGUGGGUAGUUUAACUGGGGCGGUUGCCUCCUAAAGAGUAACGGAGGCGCCCAAAGGUUCCCUCAGCCUGGUUGGCAAUCAGGUGUUGAGUGUAAGUGCACAAGGGAGCUUGACUGUGAGACCGACGGGUCGAGCAGGUGCGAAAGCAGGGACUAGUGAUCCGGCGGUGGCUUGUGGAAGCGCCGUCGCUCAACGGAUAAAAGGUACCCCGGGGAUAACAGGCUGAUCUUCCCCAAGAGUCCAUAUCGACGGGAUGGUUUGGCACCUCGAUGUCGGCUCGUCGCAUCCUGGGGCUGGAGUAGGUCCCAAGGGUUGGGCUGUUCGCCCAUUAAAGCGGUACGCGAGCUGGGUUUAGAACGUCGUGAGACAGUUCGGUCCCUAUCCGCUGUGCGCGUAGGAAUAUUGAGAAGGGCUGUCCCUAGUACGAGAGGACCGGGACGGACGAACCUCUGGUGUGCCAGUUGUCCUGCCAAGGGCAUGGCUGGUUGGCUACGUUCGGGAGGGAUAACCGCUGAAAGCAUCUAAGCGGGAAGCCUGCUUCGAGAUGAGUGUUCCCACCUCCUUGAGAGGGUAAGGCUCCCAGUAGACGACUGGGUUGAUAGGCCGGAUGUGGAAGCCCUGUAAGGGGUGGAGCUGACCGGUACUAAUAGGCCGAGG